rnacentral:rRNA from 1 species
UACAGAGGGGGCAAGCGUUGUUCGGAAUUACUGGGCGUAAAGGGCGCGUAGGCGGCCUGUUAAGUCGAACGUGAAAUCCCCGGGCUCAACCCGGGAACUGCGUCCGAUACUGGAAGGCUUGAAUCCGGGAGAGGGAUGCAGAAUUCCAGGUGUAGCGGUGAAAUGCGUAGAUAUCUGGAGGAAUACCGGUGGCGAAGGCGGCAUCCUGGACCGGCAUUGACGCUGAGGAGCGAAAGCCAGGGGAGCAAACGGG